rnacentral:rRNA from 1 species
UGCAGAAGAAGAGCUAGCUAAAUACGUGCCAGCAGCCGCGGUAAUACAUAGGGCGCAAGCGUUAUCCGGAAUUAUUGGGCGUAAAGAGCUCGUAGGCGGUUUGUCGCGUCUGCUGUGAAAGACCGGGGCUCAACUCCGGUUCUGCAGUGGGUACGGGCAGACUAGAGUGCAGUAGGGGAGACUGGAAUUCCUGGUGUAGCGGUGAAAUGCGCAGAUAUCAGGAGGAACACCGAUGGCGAAGGCAGGUCUCUGGGCUGUAACUGACGCUGAGGAGCGAAAGCAUGGGGAGCGAACAGGAUUAGAUACCCUGGUUAGUCCAUGCCGUAAACGUUGGGCACUAGAUGUGGGGGACAUUUCUAUGUUUUUCCGCGCCGUAGCUAACGCAUUAAGUGCCCCGCCUGGGGAGUACGGCCGCAAGGCUAAAACUCAAAGGAAUUGACGGGGGCCUGCACAAGCGGCGGAGCAUGCGGAUUAAUUCGAUGCAACGCGAAGAACCUUACCAAGGCUUGACAUGAACCGGAAAGACCUGGAAACAGGUGCCCCGCUUGCGGUCGGUUUACAGGUGGUGCAUGGUUGUCGUCAGCUCGUGUCGUGAGAUGUUGGGUUAAGUCCCGCAACGAGCGCAACCCUCGUUCUAUGUUGCCAGCGGUUCGGCCGGGGACUCAUAGGAGACUGCCGGGGUCAACUCGGAGGAAGGUGGGGACGACGUCAAAUCAUCAUGCCCCUUAUGUCUUGGGCUUCACGCAUGCUACAAUGGCCGGUACAAAGGGUUGCGAUACUGUGAGGUGGAGCUAAUCCCAAAAAGCCGGUCUCAGUUCGGAUUGGGGUCUGCAACUCGACCCCAUGAAGUCGGAGUCGCUAGUAAUCGCAGAUCAGCAACGCUGCGGUGAAUACGUUCCCGGGCCUUGUACACACCGCCCGUCAAGUCACGAAAGUUGGUAACACCCGAAGCCGGUGGCCUAACCCUUGUGGGGGGAGGCCCGUAGGGAAAAA